CCUACGGGUGGCAGCAGUGGGGAAUAUUGGACAAUGGGCGAAAGCCUGAUCCAGCCAUGCCGCGUGUGUGAAGAAGACCUUCGGGUUGUAAAGCACUUUCAGUGGGGAAGAAAGCCUUGGGGCUAAUACCCUCGAGGAAGGACAUCACCCACAGAAGAAGCACCGGCUAACUCCGUGCCAGCAGCCGCGGUAAUACGGAGGGUGCGAGCGUUAAUCGGAAUUACUGGGCGUAAAGCGCGCGUAGGCGGUCUGAUAAGCCGGUUGUGAAAGCCCCGGGCUCAACCUGGGAACGGCAUCCGGAACUGUCAGGCUAGAGUGCAGGAGAGGAAGGUAGAAUUCCCGGUGUAGCGGUGAAAUGCGUAGAGAUCGGGAGGAAUACCAGUGGCGAAGGCGGCCUUCUGGACUGACACUGACGCUGAGGUGCGAAAGCGUGGGUAGCAAACAGGAUUAGAUACCCGGGUAGUC
rnacentral:rRNA from 1 species